rnacentral:piRNA from 1 species
UUAAAGAUGAAACGUGGAUCCAUCUUCGC